AGCCUUUUGGCUCAAGU
rnacentral:sRNA from 1 species